rnacentral:rRNA from 1 species
AUUGAACGCUGGCGGCAGGCCUAACACAUGCAAGUCGAACGAGUGGCGGACGGGUGAGUAAUGUCUGGGAAACUGCCUGAUGGAGGGGGAUAACUACUGGAAACGGUAGCUAAUCCCGCAUACCAUCAGAUGUGCCCAGAUGGGAUUAGCUAGUUGGUGGGGUAACGGCUCACCAAGGCGACGAUCCCUAGCUGGUCUGAGAGGAUGACCAGCCACACCGCAACUGAUGCCCAGGCCAGAAUCCACCGAGAGUCAGCAAUGUGAAAGAUUGCACAAGGGGAGCAAGCCUGAUUCAGCCAUGCCGCGUGUAUGAAGAAGGCCUUCUGGUUGUAAAGUACUUUCAGCGGGGAGGCGUUACCCGCAGAAGAAGCACCGGCUAACUCCGUGCCAGCAGCCGCGGUGAAAC